GGACUACUCGGGUAUCUAAUCCUGUUUGCUCCCCACGCUUUCGUGCAUGAGCGUCAAUCUUAGCCCAGGGGGCUGCCUUCGCCAUCGGUAUUCCUCCACAUAUCUACGCAUUUCACUGCUACACGUGGAAUUCUACCCCCCUCUGCCAGAUUCUAGCCGUGCAGUCACAAAUGCAGUUCCCAGGUUAAGCCCGGGGAUUUCACAUCUGUCUUGCACAACCGCCUGCGCACGCUUUACGCCCAGUAAUUCCGAUUAACGCUUGCACCCUACGUAUUACCGCGGCUGCUGGCAC
rnacentral:rRNA from 2 species